rnacentral:rRNA from 1 species
AGCGCGAUUAGUUGGACUGGAGACUUCGGUCAAAGGGAAGAUUAUGAAAGCGGCGGACGGGUGAGUAACGCGUGAGCAACCUGCCCUGUACAGGGGGAUAGCCACUGGAAACGGUGAUUAAUACCCCAUAACCCCAAAGGACCGCAUGGUCCAAUGGGCAAAGUCCAAACGGUACAGGAUGGGCUCGCGUCUGAUUAGCUAGUUGGUGAGGUAACGGCUCACCAAGGCGACGAUCAGUAGCCGACCUGAGAGGGUGAACGGCCACACUGGAACUGAGACACGGUCCAGACUCCUACGGGAGGCAGCAGUGGGGAAUAUUGCACAAUGGGCGCAAGCCUGAUGCAGCAACGCCGCGUGAGUGAAGAAGGCCUUCGGGUCGUAAAACUCUGUCCUAAGGGAAGAAGAAGUGACGGUACCUUAGGAGGAAGCCCCGGCUAACUACGUGCCAGCAGCCGCGGUAAUACGUAGGGGGCAAGCGUUAUCCGGAAUCACUGGGCGUAAAGGGUGCGUAGGCGGCUGAUCAAGCCAGGGGUGAAAGGCUGUGGCUUAACCAUGGUAAGCCUUUGGAACUGGUCAGCUUGAGUGCAGGAGAGGAAAGCGGAAUUCCUAGUGUAGCGGUGAAAUGCGUAGAUAUUAGGAGGAACACCCGUGGCGAAGGCGGCUUUCUGGACUGUAACUGACGCUGAGGCACGAAAGCGUGGGGAGCAAACAGGAUUAGAUACCCUGGUAGUCCACGCUGUAAACGAUGAAUACUAGGUGUCGGGGGUCAAAGCCCGGUUGCCC